rnacentral:rRNA from 1 species
UACGAAGGGGGCUAGCGUUGUUCGGAAUUACUGGGCGUAAAGCGCACGUAGGCGGAUUGUUAAGUCAGGGGUGAAAUCCCGGGGCUCAACCCCGGAACUGCCUUUGAUACUGGGUGUCUGGAGGUCGAGAGAGGUGAGUGGAAUUCCGAGUGUAGAGGUGAAAUUCGUAGAUAUUCGGAGGAACACCAGUGGCGAAGGCGGCUCACUGGCUCGAUACUGACGCUGAGGUGCGAAAGCGUGGGGAGCAAACAGG